rnacentral:rRNA from 1 species
UACGGAGGGAGCUAGCGUUGUUCGGAAUUACUGGGCGUAAAGGGCGCGUAGGCGGUCGUGACAAGUCACUUGUGAAAUCUCCGGGCUUAACUCGGAACGGUCAAGUGAUACUGUCGGACUAGAGUACAGAAGGGGCAACUGGAAUUCUCGGUGUAGCGGUGAAAUGCGUAGAUAUCGAGAGGAACACCUGCGGCGAAGGCGGGUUGCUGGGCUGAUACUGACGCUGAGGCGCGAAAGCCAGGGGAGCGAACGGG